GCCUCCCGUCAGAGAGGGGCAUGCGCAGUGGGUGCCUCCCGUCUCUUCUACCCGAACCCCCCCUCCCCCCCCCAGCAGAGAGACCCCAGCAGCAGCAGCAGCUGAUGAUGAAGAGAGAGGCAGUGGCAGAGGGGGGGCACCUUUUAUUUCUAUUUUUAAAGGGACAGGACACUAAUUUUACCCCACUUCAACCUUGAAUUGAGGGGGGUGGGGGGAAGGCGGCUGAGUUCCUUCCCCCACCCUCCAGCCCUGAGACCUGAGAGGGGGAUUGAGCCUGAGAGAGAAGGAGAAGGAGUUUCUUCUUCUUCGAAAACCCCCAUCCACGACUCCUACCCCCUCACCCCUCCACAAGCCUCCCUCCCGAGCCCCCUCCAUCCUCCUCCUCUUUGGCCGUGAGAGGAGAGAAAGAGACCAAAAGCCUCUUAGCAACACAGACCCUUCCUUCUCUGCUGCUGUUGCUGCUGCUGCUGCUGUUGCUGCUGCUGCUACUGCUGCUGCUGCUUGGCCCUGGCUGGAGACAUCUCACUACACCCAGGAGCAGCCACUUCCCCAGCUCUCCUCCUCCUUCGCCUCCUCCUCCACUCCCCCCCCCCCCCUUUAUUACCCUUUGUGUCAUCCUCCACAGCUCCAGGGAAGGCACUCAAAAGUGGGGGGCAGGAAAGACAAUUAUCAACUUUCCAGUUUUCUAUGGAUUUGAAGAUUUAUCCCUAGUCAUCAGUGGGACCCCAGGAAGUCAGCCAGAAGGCCCUAUGUCCAACUUAUGUACUUUUGCAAACUUGUCUGUAUUUUGAAUAAUAAUAUUGAUUCACAGUUUUAAAAAAGGAGGGGAUCCCCUGCUGGUACAGCAUCUUGUGAAGGAGUUUGUGCUGAAGGAUUUCUUGGCCAUUUUAGAGACUGUAAUCUAGUUAAAAGCUUUCUACUUGUCUGUCUGUCAAAGUAUAUUACGAAGAUCCCUAGUUCUGUGACAAGUUAAUAGGGACAACCUCUACAGCUUCAGAGACAUGCCUAGAUUUGAACACGGGCUCAAUAUACUGAUUACUGUAGUAUUCAACCUUUGAUGCUUAUUGAGAAUAUCAGUUUCUACGUGUGGGAAGUAGAUAUUGAAGGUUAUACGGUUUACAGACAAGAUCUUUAGACACUCAAGGUAAACAUUCACUAGACCCUGCCUUCCUUAUAUCUGUAACUAAAGUGCAUCCUUUCUGAGAAGAGAGUCUCCCUUCUGUUUUUACCACCGUGAACUGAGUUCAUUUUUUCUAGAUUAUAAAGUAGCAGCUUCUUUACAUCUGUGAGCAGCUUACUUUACAUCUAUUAAAGAAGUUAACAGACUGAACUUUAACAAUCUGUUUACUUGUCAGUUUUCUAGCUACUGGCCUGUAAGCUCCUUGAAAACAAAAACUAUCAUUUAUCGCUUGGCUUUUUUCUACAAGACUGGCAAAGAGU